rnacentral:rRNA from 1 species
AGAAAUUUCGAGACCUCAAAUAAAAUUUUUAAAGUCACGACUUCUAAUUUUCUCACAAAUCUUCUACUAUAAAAGUACCACAAGGGAAAGCUGAAAUAAAAUGAAAAUUAAAAGGAGUAAAAGAGUCUUUUCGUACCUUUUGUAUUAUGGUUUAACAAGACUUCCCGGGAAAAUUCUCCAAAGCCCGAAACCUAGAGAGCUAACCCUUUCCUCUUAAUCAAGAGAAUCCUCCUACUGUUACAAGAGUAGGGAAAGAGGAAGGGUUAGAAAUGAAAUGUUAAACGCGCUAGGUGAUAGCUGGUUCCUCAAGAAAGAAGUUUAAGCUUCCCCUCCUUACCCCCUCUACUACUAACAUUCUCAGUUUUUAACAAGAGCACCCUCAAAGGAAGGAAAGAAAGAGGGAGACAAGUUCCUCUUUCAAGAAGGAAACAACCAAGAGACCAGGAAAGGACAAUAAGAUCAAUCAAGGUUUAUUAUUUAAGUAGGCCUAAGAGCUGCCACCAUUUCGGAAAGCGUUAAAGCUCAUAAAACAAAAUAACCAAAAAUAUCUGUGUUCCCACCCAAACCUGUCAAGACGGUAUUGAGGAAAAUUAUAAUGUUAAAACGAGUAAGUAUACAAAACAGCUCUGGGCAACGGAAAACUAACCCGAUCAACCAAGAAUAGUUUUAAAAACCCAAGAAAAAACCCUUACCAUCCCUCCAACACAGGAGCCCCCAGAACAAUGGAAAAAGGAAGAGGAAGGAACUAGGCAAACCUAGAGGAUGACUGUUUACCAAAAACAUAGCCCCUUGGAAUUCAUAAGGGGUCAAGCCUGCCCAGUGGGGAAUACUUUCCUAAACGGCCGCGGUAUCUUGACCGUGCAAAGGUAGCAUAAUCACUUGUCUCUUAAAUGGGGACCCGUAUGAAUGGCUUUUCAUCCUCUAACUGUCUCCCUUUUUUUCCACAUAAACUUCUAUUUACGUGAAGAAGCGUACUUCAGAGAGAAAGACGAGAAGACCCUGUCGAGCUUUAGCUUAUCCUACCCAUUUACAUUUAUCCUUCCCCAGGAAAAAACCUCUGUAGGCCAGGCUUUGGUUGGGGCAACCAUGGAGAAAAAAUAUCCUCCAGCUUUCUAGGAAGAGAAUCAACUCCCCUUUCCCGCUUUUGAGAACCAAUACUUUUGGAAAACGGAAAAAGUUACCGCAGGGAUAACAGCGUUAUCUUUUCUAAGAGCCCUUAUUGACGAAAAGGAUUGCGACCUCGAUGUUGGAUUGGGGUAACCAGAGGGUGCAGCAGCUCUUUAAGGUUGGACUGUUCGUCCAUUAAUCCCCUACAUGAUCUGAGUUCAGACCGACGUGAGUCAGGUCAGCUUCUAUCUUCUAUUUAUUCCUCCUAGUACGAAAGGACCGGAGAAAAGUCUUAAAUAGUUUUCACAAAAAGACAAAAAAACAAAAAAAAA